GACGAACGCUGGCGGCGUGCUUAACACAUGCAAGUCGAACGGAAAGGCCCUGCUUUUGUGGGGUGCUCGAGUGGCGAACGGGUGAGUAACACGUGAGUAACCUGCCCUUGACUUUGGGAUAACUUCAGGAAACUGGGGCUAAUACCGGAUAGGAGCUCCUGCUGCAUGGUGGGGGUUGGAAAGUUUCGGCGGUUGGGGAUGGACUCGCGGCUUAUCAGCUUGUUGGUGGGGUAGUGGCUUACCAAGGCUUUGACGGGUAGCCGGCCUGAGAGGGUGACCGGCCACAUUGGGACUGAGAUACGGCCCAGACUCCUACGGGAGGCAGCAGUGGGGAAUAUUGCACAAUGGGCGGAAGCCUGAUGCAGCAACGCCGCGUGCGGGAUGACGGCCUUAGGGUUGUCAACCGCUUUCGCCUGUGACGAAGCGUGAGUGACGGUAAUGGGUAAAGAAGCACCGGCUAACUACGUG
rnacentral:rRNA from 1 species